ACUAGUUUAAAAAGAGAUACCAUUUUGACUAAAGGUAAUGACUAAAAGUUGACUAAGAUAUAUGGACUUUUCAUCGACUAAAACUAGACUAAAACUACAAAGGAAAACAAUGACUAAAAUGUGACUAAAUAUAAUAAGCAUUUUCGUCAAAAGACUAAGACUAAAGCUAAAAUAGCUGACAAAAUUAACAGUGUAUCCAAAAAGCGGGAGCUCGCGUGGGAAAAAAUAGCUGACCGAGUCAAUGCGUGAGUAUUUAUUUGAGAUUUAUUUGAGAAGUUUUGUCUUGAAUUUUCACUUAUUCAACAAUUAUAUUCCAUAUGUGUGUUUGUGCGCACAGGUGCAACCCAACAGGCCCCAAACUGACUUGUCAGCAACUAAAAAUGAUAUAUAAAUGUAGUUCAAACAGCCUACAGAAAAAAGGCAGAGGCACGCAAAACAGGUGGCGGUCCACCACCACCACCUCUCACAGAGGCUGAAGAGGUGGCAUCUCUGGGGGGAGCUCAUCGGACCCAGCCAGGACACAGGGGCCUACAUAAGAGUUACUGAUGAUGGUGUAAUCUGUCUCGUGGAGCCUUCUGCCAUAACACACCUCCAUGCUGUUGAUGAUGAUGAAGACACCUUAUCAGCUGCCACAGAGAGGGAAGUAAUAACUUUGGUUUCAGUUAAUUGCUCCACAAUACAACUUGCAACUGCUUUCUCUCUAACAGAGCAAUGCCGGAAGUUACAAUGAGGAAGAAGGUCCAUCAACCUCAACAGCACAGCUUACCUCAGUAAGAUGUUGUUCAGCGUUGACCCACAACUUACAAUGACACUAAGUAGACAUGGCACUGUGAAAUUCAACCUCAUUUAUGUUUCUAUUGCUCCCUGUGAAACAAAUUACAAAGUAUAUUUAGAAUCCCAAAUAAACAAAUCACACCUAGAAAUGGAGCACAUAAGGCUGCAGAUCACCAAAACAAAAAAGGAAAUACAACUGCUGGACCAUCAGUUAAAGGUGGGUGACGUGCCCACAGGGGGAUGUUUUUUAAUUGUUUCAACAACAAAGGAUUAACAACUGUACAACAUUUGCCCUUCUAGGAAAUAAAGAAGACCCCAUAAAAUGAG